rnacentral:rRNA from 1 species
GUUGCGAACGGGUGAGUAACGCGUAGGUAACCUACCUCAUAGCGGGGGAUAACUAUUGGAAACGAUAGCUAAUACCGCAUGACAAUAGAGUACACAUGUACUUAAUUUAAAAGGGGCAACUGCUCCACUAUGAGAUGGACCUGCGUUGUAUUAGCUAGUUGGUGAGGUAACGGCUCACCAAGGCGACGAUACAUAGCCGACCUGAGAGGGUGAUCGGCCACACUGGGACUGAGACACGGCCCAGACUCCUACGGGAGGCAGCAG